rnacentral:rRNA from 1 species
GGAGGGUGACGGGCGGUGUGUGCGCAUUCUAGAGCUUGUUUCAUCUUUUUUUUCUGUAAAAGAUUACUGUUGAAUCCUUUUUCUAUAAGAUUCUUUUUUCUUAUUUUCUCUGUUAGGAAGUAGAGUAGCUCAUUUAUCCCCAGUUUAUGGGCUGCACCUUGAUCUGACGUUUGGAGAUUUACUCUUUAUGCUUACGUUCUUAAAGGUAAGCUGGCGACGAUGGUAUACAAGCUGUUUUCUAAAACUGGUGAGGUUUCUCGUGGGUUAUCGAUUAGAUAACAAGCUCCUCCAAGGAGAUUUAGAAAACCGCCAAGUUCUUUAAGUUUCGAUUUUUUUAAUUAUACUUCUCUGGUGUUAAAGGGUUUUUGUGGAAAAGUAUAGUGGGGUAUCUAAUCCCAG